rnacentral:rRNA from 1 species
GACGAACGCUGGCGGCGUGCCUAAUACAUGCAAGUCGAACGAACCGACGGAGAACUUGUUCUCUUGACGUGAGUGGCGGACGGGUGAGUAACACGUGGGAAACCUACCCUUCAGCGGGGGAUAACGGUUCGAAAGAAUCGCUAAUACCGCAUAAAAGGAUCAGUCGCCUGGCUGAUUCGUAAAAGAUGGCUCUGCUAUCACUGAAGGAUGGGCCCGCGGCGCAUUAGCUAGUUGGUAAGGUAACGGCUUACCAAGGCGAUGAUGCGUAGCCGACCUGAGAGGGUAAUCGGCCACAUUGGGACUGAGACACGGCCCAAACUCCUACGGGAGGCAGCAGUAGGGAAUCUUCCGCAAUGGACGCAAGUCUGACGGAGCAACGCCGCGUGUGUGAAGAAGGUUUUCGGAUCGUAAAGCACUGUUAUUGGCCAAGAACACCCCAAGUAGUAACUGGCUUGGGAUUGACGGUAACCAAUCAGAAAGCCACGGCUAACUACGUGCCAGCAGCCGCGGUAAUACGUAGGUGGCAAGCGUUGUCCGGAUUUAUUGGGCGUAAAGGGAGCGCAGGCGGUGACUUAAGUCUGAUGUGAAAGCCCACGGCUUAACCGUGGAGGGUCAUUGGAAACUGGGUCACUUGAGUGCAGAAGAGGAAAGCGGAAUUCCAUGUGUAGCGGUGAAAUGCGUAGAUAUAUGGAGGAACACCAGUGGCGAAGGCGGCUUUCUGGUCUGUAACUGACGCUGAAGCUCGAAAGCGUGGGGAGCAAACAGGAUUAUAUACCCUGGCAGUCCACGCCGUAAACGAUGAGUGCUAAGUGUUGGGGGGCUUCCUCCCCUCAGUGCUGGCGUUUACUCCCUAAGCUCUCCGCCUGGGGAGUACGGUCGCAAUACUGAGACUUAUAGGAAUUGACGGGGGACCCGCACAAGCGGUGGAGCAUGUGGUUUAAUUCCAAACAACACGUACAACCCUACCUGCCUCUUGACAUAGGAUGCAUAAGCUCUUGAUAGCUGAAGUCCUUCGGGACGUCCAUACACGUGGCGCAUGGUUGUUCGUCACCUCGUGUCGUGAGAUGUUGCGUUAAGUCCCGCAACCAGCGCAACCCUUAUCACUAGUUGCCUGCACUCUCAUGGGCACUCUUUCUAUAAUACCGGUGGCAAACCGGAGUAAUGCUGUAAUGACAUCUAAUUAUCACCCCGCCUUAACGAACUGGGCUACUCACUGGCCUGCCUGGACCAUUCACUGAGCACUCUACUUCUCUGGUUUAAUCCAAUCUCAGUAAUUCCUGUCACCGUUCGAAUUGUAGGC